CACAAACAACUUAAAAAGAAAAGAAAAGAAAGAAAGAAAAAGAGGAAAAGGAAAAAAAUGCAUGCAAACAAAUCCAAUAACGGAAUUUUAGAGUUUACAAUUCAUCACAGAAAUGAAAAGAUCUUCAAGGAGAAUAUUGUCUUAAGUACUAUGUUCCUUCGGAAACCUCAGGAGAGAGAAGGAGAAAAGGAAUCUUUGGAGCAGGUUUCUUAAAAAAAAAUGAUUGUAGGGAGUGACUUCAGCAUCAUGGUGGAGUGAACUUGCCUGGGACUCUCUCCCUUCCAACGUACUGUGAAAAGCGGCAUUCGUAUUCCAACAGAGGACAUCCUAACACAGCACAAAUCGUCAGAAAGACAUGCAGCCAUAUCACGGAGGGCAGAGAGGCUACAGCUUCCCUCAGAGGAGCUGGAAUGGGGGAUAGGAUUCUCGCUCUCCAGUGGAACACAGUGAAAGUCAUUCCUAAAAAAAUAGAGAAAAAAAAUGGAC
rnacentral:lncRNA from 1 species